rnacentral:rRNA from 1 species
AUUGAACGCUGGCGGCAUGCCUUACACAUGCAAGUCGAACGGCAGCACGGGAGCAAUCCUGGUGGCGAGUGGCGAACGGGUGAGUAAAGUAUCGGAACAUGCCCAGUCGUGGGGGAUAACGUAGCGAAAGUUACGCUAAUACCGCAUACGAUCUAUGGAUGAAAGCGGGGGAUCGCAAGACCUCGCGCGAUUGGAGCGGCCGAUAUCAGAUUAGGUAGUUGGUGGGGUAAAGGCCCACCAAGCCGACGAUCUGUAGCUGGUCUGAGAGGACGACCAGCCACACGGGGACUGAGACACGGCCCAGACUCCUACGGGAGGCAGCAGUGGGGAAUUUUGGACAAUGGGCGAAAGCCUGAUCCAGCCAUGCCGCGUGCAGGAUGAAGGCCUUCGGGUUGUCAACUGCUUUUGUACGGAACGAAAAGGACUGCCCUAAUACGGUGGUCCCAUGACGGUACCGUAAGAAUAAGCACCGGCUAACUACGUGCCAGCCGCCGCAGUAA